GGAUAGCUCAGUUGGUAGAGCGCCAGAUUGUGGCUCUGGAGGUCAUGGGUUCGAAACCCCUUA
rnacentral:tRNA from 1 species